GUAGAGACGGGUCUCCCUUGUUGCUCAGGCUAGUCUCAAUUCCUGGGCUCAAGGGAUCCUCCAGCCUCAGCCUCCCACAAUGCUGGGAUUACAAGCAUGAGCCAACACACCCAGCCAAACCUCCCUCACCUAACACUGUGAAUCAUUCUAGGACAACCAAAAAAAGCAACACCAUGGUAUCAGUCUGACAUACAGUAUCUCUUCUGUAAUACCUCACACCCUCUAUAGUGCUGUGGAAGCAGAUUAAUUUGAUACUAGGAAGACACUGGUUUUUUCUUUUUUUUUGAGAUGGGAUCUCACUCUGUCACCCAGGCUGGAGUGCAGUGGCGCGAUCUCGGCUCACUGCAACCUCCACCUCCUGGGUUGAGGCAAUUCUCCUGCCUCAGCCUCCUGAGUAGCUGGGACUACAGGCACCCGCCACCACGCCUGGCUAAUUUUUUUGUAUUUUUAGUAGAGACGGGAUUUCACCGUGUUAGCCAGGAUGGUCUCAAUCUCCUGACCUCGUGAUCCACCCACUUUGACCUCCCAAAGUGCUGGGAUUACAGGCGUGAGCCAC
rnacentral:lncRNA from 1 species